GCCUUCGGGGUGUGAUGAUCAAGCAUACUCGGCUCGUAUUCGAGAGGUCCGUGGUUCGAGUCCCGGCGAUUGCA
rnacentral:tRNA from 1 species